UGUUAUGGCAGCUGUACGUGGGACACCUUCGGGUGUGCCGGUUAUCCCAUGUCCGGUCGGCCAACCCGCGUGCAGUUGCCACCCUU
rnacentral:antisense_RNA from 1 species